AUUGAACGCUGGCGGCAGGCUUAACACAUGCAAGUCGAGCGGGGUGAUGGUGCUUGCACUAUCACUUAGCGGCGGACGGGUGAGUAAUGCUUAGGAAUCUGCCUAUUAGUGGGGGACAACGUCUCGAAAGGGAUGCUAAUACCGCAUACGUCCUACGGGAGAAAGCAGGGGAUCACUUGUGACCUUGCGCUAAUAGAUGAGCCUAAGUCGGAUUAGCUAGUUGGUGGGGUAAAGGCCUACCAAGGCGACGAUCUGUAGCGGGUCUGAGAGGAUGAUCCGCCACACUGGGACUGAGACACGGCCCAGACUCCUACGGGAGGCAGCAGUGGGGAAUAUUGGACAAUGGGGGGAACCCUGAUCCAGCCAUGCCGCGUGUGUGAAGAAGGCCUUAUGGUUGUAAAGCACUUUAAGCGAGGAGGAGACUCUUUUGGUUAAUACCCAAGAUGAGUGGACGUUACUCGCAGAAUAAGCACCGGCUAACUCUGUGCCAGCCGCCGCGGUAA
rnacentral:rRNA from 1 species